GCAAGUCGAACGGUAACAGCAGAGCUUGCUCUGGCUGACGAGUGGCGGACGGGUGAGUAAUAAAUAGGAAUCUGCCUAGUAGUGGGGGACAACCUGGUGAAAACCAGGCUAAUACCGCAUACGCCCUACGGGGGAAAGGGGGCUUCGGCUCUCGCUAUUAGAUGAGCCUAUUUCUGAUUAGCUUGUUGGUGAGGUAAUGGCUCACCAAGGCGACGAUCAGUAGCUGGUCUGAGAGGAUGAGC
rnacentral:rRNA from 1 species